UUAAAUGUAAGCCAUAAUACUGAGAAUAAUAAUCUAUUCAAUUUUGUAAUGCCAUAGGCUUUCAAAAAAGCUCUCUCUUCCUAGUUCAUAAUUCACCAGCGAGGUGUAGCAGUCAGUUUCAGGAAAAAGCUGCGAAACUCAAGCCCUCUCCCACCCCUCCAAAACGCACAUUAAAGAAGACAACUUCGUCUGGCAGAGAGCGACAAAUUCUUGCGGUAGAGCAAUCUCUGGAGGAUCUCUCUCCACCCCACCCCCUCCCAAGCUUCUCCAUCCAGCUCUGAACACAAACCCAGAAGCAAGCAAGGCUGGCCUCCAAGAUUCAAGGGGGGUUGGGGAAUGGCUGCCUGAAUCUGGACGGCAAACAGAUUUCGGCUUUUAAGGUUCCUAUUGUUCAGGCAACACUCAAAUAAAGAUAUGAUCAAAUGAAGCUGCAGUUCCACCAAAGGGAAGCUGCCCUUUCAUCUGACAGAGUUUCCUAAUUUGAAGUUAAAAAGGGAAGUGCAGCCAUGUAUCCUUUGCAAGAUUUCUCUUCAGGCACAACGUGCUUGGAUCCUUUAAAAAAAUAUUAAUAUGAGGGUAUUUCAUAUUUAUUUGGAGCUUUAGCCUCCUCAGCCCAUCCAUCCAGAAAACACAGCAGGGAAACGCUAAACUGACGAACAAUAUAAGAGACAUUCGGUCCCUUCCCCUCCAUGUGACGCGAGAGACAAAGAUUGUGCCACCGGUGGCAACUCAGGAUAAGUCGACGCCUCCUUUGCAACAUCAAGUGACAGCCAGCACGCGUGAAAGGACCGUCUUAGAUCA